rnacentral:rRNA from 1 species
GAUGAACGCUGGCGGCGUGCCUAAUACAUGCAAGUCGAGCGAAUGAAGAGGAGCUUGCUCCUCUGAUUUAGCGGCGGACGGGUGAGUAACACGUGGGUAAUCUGCCUGUAAGUCGGGGAUAACUCCGGGAAACCGGGGCUAAUACCGGAUAAUAAGAAGAAACGCAUGUUUCUUUUUUGAAAGUCGGUUUCGGCUGACACUUACAGAUGAGCCCGCGGCGCAUUAGCUAGUUGGUGAGGUAACGGUUCACCAAGGCGACGAUGCGUAGCCGACCUGGGAGGGUGAUCGGCCAAACUGGGACUGAGACACGGCCCAGACUCCUACGGGAGGCAGCAGUAGGGAAUCUUCGGCAAUGGGCGAAAGCCUGACCGAGCAACGCCGCGUGAGCGAUGAAGGCCUUCGGGUCGUAAAGCUCUGUUGUUAGAGAAGAACAAGUACGAGAGUAACUGCUCGUACCUUGACGGUACCUAACCAGAAAGCCACGGCUAACUACGUGCCAGCCGCCGCGGUAA